UUCCUGUAUACUCAUGCUUCCUUUUAAUUUUCUGUACACUGAACUUGGAAGGAGUUGGGUUCAACUCACUCGCUGAACCAAAGAGGAAUUGGGUCAGCUUGUGACUGCACCCAAGAAUGGUCAGCUGUAGAAGUUAAAGAAGAAGAAGAUGGAGUUGGGCGCAGACGCGUCCUUGACUCAACAUGGGGUUGGGCGCGGAUGUACCAUAGCUCAACAUGGAGUUGGGCGCGGACACAUCCUGGUCCAACUUGAAAUUGGGUGCGGAUGCGUCACAACUCGACUUAGUGUUGGGCGCGGACCCAUCACGACCCAAAUUAGUGUUGGGCGCGGACGCGCCCUUACCCAACUUAGAGUUGGGGGUGGGCACGCCAUGGGUCAACCUAGGGUUGGACUCAAACUCGUCUUUGCCCAACUUAGAGUUAGGUAUGGGCAUGCCAUGACCAAACAUGAAGUUGAACGCUGAAAGUACAAUAUCGCAUUUUAAAUUAUGACUUUCAUGUGAUAUUUUUUUAAAUGUGAGAGGGUUUUAGAAAAUCAUGAACCAUCAAUUACUACUGAACACUUCAUUAAUCUAAUAGCACCAGUAAUGGACAGAGCUUUCUUGUCUGUGUCUGCAUAUGUGGGAGAGAAAGUCAGGGAGAGAGGUAUAGCACCUCACAAAAGUUCUAAGGAAACACCAACGAACCGUUUGACCAUGGCCCCAUCACUACUUCCACUUGACUGCUGCAUAAAUGAGAAUCUGUGGUGAGAGGAAAACUGGAUUGGGAAGCUCAAAAAUCUGUUGCCUACUCACUCUCCAUUUCUUCUCACUAAGCACUUCAAUCUUUACCAUGUUACCGCGUCAUUAUUAUUUCUAAUCUGCAUAAUUAGAUGAUUAAGAAUGGCGAAUCCAUUCUGUAGAUGAAAGUAUUGCUUCAUAUCAAAGGUUGCUAAUCAUCCUCGUUUUAGCUUAGGUUGAUUGAUUUCAUUUGCGUAAUUCCUAGAUAUUAAGUUAUAUGAUGAUCUUGAUGAGAUAAGCAUCAAGUUACGUGCAUGAGAGGCAUAGAUUGAAUUAUUUGAUUGAAUAAUUAAGUUAUGAUCACCGACACUAAAAAUCUAUGCAGAGAGAACUAUAAAAAUGCUAUUAUCUUGAUUAAUGUAAAAAGUUGAAUAAUUUAAAAUAAUAGUCCUUAGCCAAGUAAAUUUGAUAAUAUUUUAUCAAGAAAUUUCAAGAAUAAAAGUUAUCAAUCCUGAUAUAGUGAAUUAUCUCUUUACAAAUCUUUGAGUCUUUAUAUAUUGGUCAAAUAAUCUUUAUUCAUAUGGAAAAUUGUUAAAAAUUUAUUAUAAGUAUAUUUAAUAGGCAAAUUUAAGAUUAAAUUAAAAAUAAAUUCUAUUUAUUUUUAGAUAUUUUUAGUCAAUUUUUCUUGUUCGUGAACCUCUUAAUUAGUGAUGUAAUUAAUUAAGAUGGUGUUGGUUCUUAAUGAUAAAUUCCAAGUGCUUCACUUAAUAUUAUGUUUAAAAUAUUCAACAUACAUUAUUUUAUACUUGCUUUCUUUGUUUUUGUAUAAGACUAUAGUUUUAGCCUGGAAAAUGACGACAUAGAAGUCAAUAAUUCUCUUUGACAUUGCUUUUUAUCCUCAAUAAUCCAAAAAAUAACAGACGUGAUGAACUUGCUAAUUAAGAUUCAAUUUGACUAGAAAAUGACGUGACGUGCAUGAGGUUCACUACAGAAAUGCUUAUGAAAUUGUUUUUGUGUUUUAAAAUUGCUUUUAAAACAAAUUGAAAUUUUUUUAUUUUUUAUUUUAAAUUAAUAUUUUUUAUUAUGUUUUUUUUAUAUUUUAAUUGAUUAAUAUAAAAAAUAAUUUUUUUUAAAAAGGCACUAUGAUAGCAAUGUUACCUUUUACCGCUGGAUAGAAUCAAUUUAACUAUAUAAAGGAGGGGAGAGAUCUGCCCCUUCCAAUAAAUGUAAAUUUUCACACUCACAUGGAAAUUGGAGGGAGGGAGAUGGAUUUCAAUCAAGUAGCUGAUAAACCUCGUGCUGUUUGCAUACCAUUCCCAGCUCAGGGUCACAUAGCCCCACUGCUAAAGCUAGCAAAACUCUUACAUUUUAAUGGCUUCCACAUAACCUUUGUCAGUACUGAGUAUAACCACACACGACUUCUCAAAUCCAGAGGUUCUAACUCUCUGGAUGGCUCACCGGACUUUCGGUUUGAAGCUAUACCUGAUGGCCUCCCACAGACAGAUGAUUCUGAUGCAACUCAGGGCAUCCCUUCUAUCUGUGAAUCGGCUGCAAAAAACUGCUCGGUCCCAUUUCGCAAUAUACUUCACAGGCUCGAUGACAGCACUUCAUCUCCAACGUCUAGCCGGUGACCUGUGAUGGUUCUGAUGGUGCUAUGUCCUUUACACAUGAUGCUGCCGAGGAAUUUGGGAUCCCUAACCUACUGUUGCAUACACAGUGCCUGUGGGCUCUUAGGCUACACACAGUUCCGCGUUCUUGUUGAAAGGGGCUUAACACCUCUCAAAGAAACGAAGGAUAGAGGCAUGUUAACAAGUUAGUGUCCACAAGAGGAGAUUUUAAAGCAUCCAUCUAUAGGAGUAUUUGCAAGUCACAUGGGAUGGAAUUCGGUCCUUGAGAUGAGAGCCUUAGUUGUGGAGUUCCAUUUAUUUUUUUCCAUUUUUUGCAGAGCAGCAAAACAACAGGUGGUGUUCUUGCAGCAAAUGGGAUAUCGGCAUGGAGAUAAAGGUUGAUGUAAAGAGAGAUCAAGUUGGGAAGCUUUUUAGAGAAGUAAUGGAGGGAGAAAGGGGUAAAUAAAUAAAAAGGAAGGCGAUGGAACGGAAGACGAAGGCAGAAGAAGCUGCCAGCCCCGGUAGUUCUUCUUGCAGGAACUUCAAAAAUUUGCUAACAGACAUUCUUUUGGUGCAAACAAAGAAAUAAAUUUGAGAAAGGUAAGUAUAUUUGUAUCAACAAGAAAAAAAUCAAUGUAAUGAUUGUUAUGUACCAAAUAAAACAAGCUAUGGUUCACACAAUCAGCUCUGAAUCAUAUGAUUUAACUUGAUCAACA